UGGGGAAUUUUGGACAAUGGGCGAAAGCCUGAUCCAGCAAUGCCGCGUGUGUGAAGAAGGCCUUCGGGUUGUAAAGCACUUUUGUCCGGAAAGAAAUGGCUCUGGUUAAUACCUGGGGUCGAUGACGGUACCGGAAGAAUAAGGACCGGCUAACUACGUGCCAGCAGCCGCGGUAAUACGUAGGGUCCAAGCGUUAAUCGGAAUUACUGGGCGUAAAGCGUGCGCAGGCGGUUGUGCAAGACCGAUGUGAAAUCCCCGAGCUUAACUUGGGAAUUGCAUUGGUGACUGCACGGCUAGAGUGUGUCAGAGGGGGGUAGAAUUCCACGUGUAGCAGUGAAAUGCGUAGAGAUGUGGAGGAAUACCGAUGGCGAAGGCAGCCCCCUGGGAUAACACUGACGCUCAUGCACGAAAGCGUGGGGAGCAAACAGGAUUAGAUACCCUGGUAGUCCACGCCCUAAACGAUGUCAACUAGCUGUUGGGGCCUUCGGGCCUUGGUAGCGCAGCUAACGCGUGAAGUUGACCGCCUGGGGAGUACGGUCGCAAGAUUAAAAGCUCAAAUGAAUUGACGGGGUCAUAGCUGUUUCCGUG
rnacentral:rRNA from 1 species